CCCCUAGAUGUUCUGGCCGCACGCGCGCUACACUGAACAGUUCAACAAGUCUUAACCUUGGCCGAUAGGUCUGGGUAAUCUUUGAACGCUGUUCGUGAUUGGGAUAGACCUUUGCAAUUAUGGGUCUUCAACGAGGAAUUCCUAGUAAACGCAAGUCAUCAGCUUGCAUUGAUUACGUCCCUGCCCUUUGUACACACCGCCCGUCGCACCUACCGAUUGAAUGGUCCGGUGAAAUCUCGGGACGGCGGCUUGGUCGCUUGCGUCCGACUGCUGAAACUUGAUUAAACCAUNUNAUUUAGNGGAAGGUGAANUCGUANCA
rnacentral:rRNA from 1 species